AGCAUGCUCUUAAUAAUUUGUUUCCUGUGACAUGGAACUCGUCACACAUAUUUAGGUCAUUAAAGUGAAUCAGAUGUCCAUUAUUCAUGAAAAAGAAAACAUGUCGCACAACUUUAUAUGUUAAAAGAGUAGACAAAUGAUAUGUGCCAAGAAAUCACUUGUGUUUUUCAUUUAUGAAGAAAGUACUUACAGUGAGAAGGAAUACACAAUUGGGAGAGGAG
rnacentral:misc_RNA from 1 species